GGGGGUGACUUGGUUUCGACAGGGAACCAGGGGGCAAGUGAUGCAUGUCGGAGACGCCAUUCCUCUCCGUUAACAAGUGGCAACUGCAAAAUUAACUGCAAACUACAACUACUCUCUGGCAGCAUAGUCUGACCAGCGUUUGCCUGUUUCGGUCCACCGGGAAUAGAGCAAGCGUCAUAACAGUGUGGAUGCUGCAAAAUCAAGCGCUCAUAGAUUUUGCCCAAGAUUAUGAGCUUUGGCUCGGCAGGUCUGAUCGUCUUUUACUGCCGUAGCUGAGACCUAAAGACGACUAAGCAUGUAGAUUCAUUUGUGACCGGUUUUUUGGACGCGGGUUCGAUCCCCGCCACCUCCACCA
rnacentral:tmRNA from 2 species